CACAAAUCUGCAGUUCUCAAUCAGUUCCAGCAGCAGCAAAGCAUGUUAUCACCAAUCAACACAAAUUUUUCACCUAAGAAUGUUGACCACCCUCUGUUGCAGGCUUCUUUUGCAUCAGGCAGGAUGUCACCCCGAAAUGUGGAACCUAUCUCGCCAAUGAGCUCUCGGGUGUCCAUGUUAGCUCAAAGAGAGAAGCAGCUACAGCAGUUGCGUAGCCUCAGCUCUAGGGAACUAGGCUCCAAUGCUGCUGCCAUUGUUGGCUCCUCAGUCAACACCUGGUCGAAAUGGGGCUCGUCAAAUGGGAAACCGGACUGGACCCUUAGUACAGAUGAGCUGGGUAAGCUGUGCAGAUCAAAUUCAUUUGAGUUUGGUAAUGGAGACGGGCCUGAUCUAUCAUGGGUUCAAUCACUUGUCAAGGAAUCUCCAACUGAGAUGAAAGAUGAGUUAAAAAUGCCUGUAUCCGGCAGUAUUGCAGCAAGCGCUUCGCCAAGCGAGAGUUCAAAUAUGAACUCCCAAAUCGAAACCAUUGACCUUGACACUAUGGUAGGGUCAUGGGUUGAGCCUUUGCAGAUUGAUCAGCUUGUGGCUCAACAAAACUAAAAUCAGUCUUAACGAGCUCCUCAGGCAGCAAAAGCUGUCAAGUUUUUGGUAAACAAUCUCAUGUUUUUUUGAUGAUUUUGUUGGUAGCGGCUAUUGAUGGUAACAGUAACAAAAAGGAAGGGGGGGGGGAAGGAGAAAGAAAGCUCAAAGAGGGAAAAUUCAUUUUCAUCAUUUUAUUAUUACAUCAGAAGUUAGAAAAGGGUGAGAUAACUCCUGGGUUAUAAUGAAAAAAGAUUAUGCCCCAGCUAGGUGUAUUUUUUAUCCCAAUAUUUUCAAAAUUUAGAAUUCUAUUAUUGUUAAUUAUUAUUUUUUCUUACCUUUUUUACAAUGAUAAGCAGCAUGUUAAUGUAACUAAGCUGUCAGGUUUAUUUUAUAAGUAUCUCUUAUAGUCACUGUGACCUUAACAAAAUCUAUAGCGGAGCAUGAGACUAAUGGAGGACUUUUCAAGGCGUUGUUGUACUUGGAUCCGCACCAUUUUUUGGAUGUAAACAUGGAUUUGUUCUUUUUCUUUAGUAACUCGGAGACGAUUAUUCUGGUUUUGGAACAGAAAGGUGGAGGUAUAGUAUAGUGAUCUCAAUGUAAACAUUUCGCUACUGUUAUCACUUAUCACUUAUCACUUAUCACAGUAACUUCUGUCCCACGUAGUUGCUUGUUUACUCUGUGUUCAGGUACUCGUUUGGUGGGUUGUGUGUGGGAAUGGAAUUGGAACCUGUGCUGUGGAUUCCAAAUCCAACAAGUGGUUCUUGAGAAUUGUGGGGGAAUGUGGAUAUGAUUCUUGGAUAGAUUCUUCAGCCUUUGUUGAUGGUUUAGAUGCUAGUAACAAUUUUGUUAUGCCCAGGAUAGAUUCUUCAGCCUUUGUUGAGAGGUUAGAUGCUAGUUACAGGUUUUUUCAAUGCCUCGGAUUGAUAAGAGCUUAAUAUGCUGAGAUGGCAUCGUUCUUGCUUGAACUGUGAAGGAUUUAGCUUUUGCUUUUGUAUUACUUCCAGGAGAGAACUGUUGUGGUAAAUCAAAAUGAAAAUAAAUGGUGGUCCAGUGGUAAAAGUUUGGGAUUAAGAGGUUUGUUUUCUCUGUGGUUUUAGGUUCGAGCCAUGUAGUUGCUCAUAUGAUAGCUACUGGAAGUUUACAUGGUCGUUAACUUCAGGGUCUGUGGGAUUAGUCGAGGUGCGCGCAAGCUGGUCUGGACACUCAUGUUAAACUAAAAUAAAAAAAUAGCGGAUAGAAAAGUAUUUACAAGUUUACUUUUGUUAACAUGGCUUAGGUCAUGCUAGUUCCCUCGUCGCCACGUCAGAUUAAAACUUUUAAAACAUUAAAAAAAAUAGAUGAGGCCUCAAUAAUUAUUUGUUAUUAUCAUUACACCUCGUUUGGUGCUGGGUGCAUCAACCCUUAAUUCUCAUGGCCAAUUCUUUUUCUAGUUUAUGUUUAAUUUUUUAUUUAAAAUUUAAAAUUAACACAUGACUUGAUGAACUUAAAAGUUUUAAUGUAACCUCAAUGAUCAGUAAAAUAUGUUAUUUAACCUUAAAAAAAUCUCAAAAUAAUUUUUUUUAAUAUUAAAACAAUGACAUAUUAGAUUGAUUUAGGUUUUGCAACUUGACCUGCUAAACCCGUUAUCAAAUUAUGAACUCCAUUGAGUUUAAUAAUAUUAUUUUAUUUUUAUUAAUUAAAAACUAUUUUUACUUGAUAAUAUAAUAACAAAAACAAACGCUUAUAAAAUUGAGCAUCAACCAAACGCUAUGACAUUUGUUUAAAAAAUAAUGACCUCAUAAAAAGUAAAUCAAACAAAUUAUAAAGACUAAUCGGAAUCAACUAAUCUCUAAAUGAUAAAAUUAGAAGAAAAAAAGGCAAAAAAAUUUAAUUGAAAGGAAAAAAAAGGGAAGAUUGAUUUUAAAAAAAUAUAAAAUAUAUUUGACAUUGUUAUUAAACUCGACCUAGCAUGUCAGUCUUGAAACUUCCCGAUUUGACUCCUUGUCUAACCGAGGUUUAAAACGUUAUGCAUGAGAGUUGCCUCUACAUGUCUCAAAAAGCUGGUAAAAAUAUGGUUUGGUUUUAAAACAAAUUUCAAGAUGAUAUUUUUUUUAUUAAUAUUGAGACAAUGACAUAUUGAAUCGACCUGAGUUUGGCAAUCUAACUUGUCAAACCCACAAUUGAGAUCCCGAACUUCGUUGGGUUUAAAAACUUUGAUUUUUUUUUAAAAAAAACUAUUUUUUUUAAUGAUACGAUAACAAAAAUAGACGCUUGUAAAAUUAAACACCAAUUAAAUGCUGAGAAGUUUGUUUAAGAAAGGGAUAACCUCGUAGAACACAAACUAAAACAAACUAUGAUGACCAAUUCAAAAUCAACAAAAUAUUGAAGGAUGAAAUUAAAAGGAAAAAAGAGAGAAUAAAAAAGCAUUCAAUCAAAAGAAGAAAAAAUUGGAAGAUAGAUUUAAAAAGAACAAAAGAAAAAAAAAAGCCACCUCCUUCGCUAUUUAGAGAAACUUUAUUUUUUAAAACUAUUUUUAGUUUAAUACUAUGAUAAUAAAAAUAGACGCUCAUAAAAUUGAGCAACAAUUAAAUGUAGGAAAGUUUAUUUGAGACAACGAUAAUUUUAUAGAAAGCAAACUGAAAUAAAUUAUGACAAACAAUUCAAAACUAAUAAAAUACUGAAGGAUGAAAUUGAAAGGAAAAAAAAUAAAAAAACAUUCAAUCAAAAAAAAAUUGAGAGAUAGAUUAAAAAAAAAAACAGAGAGAGAGAAAUGAGAAAAAAAAGGGUCUCACUUCACUUCUUUCACUGUUCAUAUUAACAUAUGAAAUUGAAAGGAAAAAAAUAGGCAAAAAGUAUUCAAUCAAAACAAGAAAAAACUUGAAAGAUAGAAUGAUGACACCAACAUUUUCAAAGAAGUAUGAAAAUUUUAAGAUCUAGGUGAUUGAAAAAGACAACACACAUUGUUAGAGUAGCAACUCAGAAAGCAAAAAAUCAAAACAUCAUGGAGCGAGUAUUACAUAAUUAUAUUUAAUCAAUUAAUUUGAUUUGAUUUAAAAACAAAAUCCCUUUUAAAAAAGCCAAAUUAAACAAAGGCAAAAAAAACUUGAGGCAACCCAUGCUAUUUUCAAAAUAAAAAAAAAUACUAUAAAGGGGGGGUAAAAAUGUUGGAGGAUGAUUCUAAAAAAAAAAGCUUAAAAAAACAAGUAAGCCCGGGUGAACCUUUUUAACCGGAGUUAAUCUCUCAAACUCGUGAUCUAUUAAAUUCUAGACCCGAGCUUAAUCAAGAAAGCUCAUCUCUUGACCCAUUUAAUGUCGAUGGAUGAAAUCAAUUAAUUUAAUUAAAAAAAAUUUCUUUUUAAAAAUCUAAAUUUAACAAAAGUAAGGAAAAAAAAACCCAAGACAGCCCGAUUUAUUUUCAACACUAGUGGAAAAUCCCAUAGAAUGUGGAAAACAAUGUUGGAGUAUGAAACAAAAAAAGAGCUUAAAAAAUAGGAAAAAACCCGAGCAAACCCGAGCCAAUAUUUUAAACUCGCAAUCCAUUAAAUAUUAGACCUAGACACAACCAAGAAGCUAAACACUUGAGCAGUUAAAUCUUGAAGGGUGAAAUCAUAAAAAAAAUAAAAUUUUAAAAAAAUCUUAAGGUAAAAAAAUAGCAAUAAAAAAGGAUCAAAUUCGAUAAAAAAAACUCAAUAAUGAUGAAAUUGUAAAAAAAAAAAAACCAUCAUAAAUAAAACCAAUAGAAAUUGAAAGAAUGAUAACCAAAUCUUAAAAAUAAAGAAAAUCAACGGGGGAUAAAAUUGAAAAAAAAUAUAGUUUCAUCAAUUAUUCAAGAUAAAGAAAAUAGUAAUGAAAAGAACAAUGACCAAAUUUGAAGGAAAAAUUAAAUUUAAGGGUUGCUUUAAAAUUUUGAAUGGUUGGUAUGAAAAUCGAGGAGGAAAAAUAGGGGAAAAAAAAUAAGAAGCCAAACACACUAUCUAAUAGUGAAGGGGCUAUCAAGAUACUUCAAUCACCACCCUGAAAGCAUAUAUUUGAGCAUCGUACAUGCUAUCCAAAACUUGUGUAUAAUGUUCAUGCACCUCCAUAUCUUUUUAAAGUUUUGUAUUUGGAAAAUAUCCCUCUUACCUCUAAUGGAACUCGAGAGUAACAAAAUAAUCAAAUCUAAAAAUACUCCUCACUUGAAGGGUAAGUUUUUCUAAUUUGAAGGGGAAUAAUUUAAAUGUGUUUAAAUUAAGUAAUAGAUAAAAAAAUCCUUGUUAUUUUGUGUUUUAGUAUCCAAUGUUAAAUUAAUAAUUUUACUGUUGAAAUUAAAAAAAAAACAUAGAUCCAUGUGUAGGAUUUUGUUUUCAAGGGAGAUGAAGUAAUUUUAUUGUGCUAAACAAAAGUAAAAAGACCUUAUUACCCUCAUUGAAUGCUUAAAUGAUUUGUUUGAACAUUUUAAAAUACUUAUAGGUAUUUUUAAUGUGUUAUAUUAGUUAGUUUGUUUUUUUUUUUGUAAUCUCCCUUGACAUGUUAAAUUAUGUUGUGUAGUUGCAUAUACUCGGUUUGGUGGUUUAAAAAUCAACAUGGAAUUGAUGAUAUUUCCCUUACAUCUUGUCCCUUCUGAUGCUAAAACAAAAGUAAAUAGGGGCAAUGGAAAAACUAAAAAGUCUUUUUUUUUUUUUUAAAUCAUUAACGAAGAACGAAGGUAAAGAAAAUGGGUCAAUUUCGUGGACAAAAUUAAUAACAAAAGUGGUAAAAUGAGAAAGACAUGAAUGAACCCAAGCAUAAGAGACAUAACACAAGAAUACAUUAGCAGGUGAGGAUAUUUCCUGACAAGAAAACUUUAUUACAGAGCAAGGUGGCCAAGUGCUCUUACCACCAACUUGUUUGAUUUCCAUUUCUACGGAGUAAACAGUUUUUUUACUACCAAUAAAAAAAAUUAACUAAAAGUUUAUACAUAUAUUUAAUAAAAUAAAUUAAGAAAUAUAUACACUAAAAACAAUAAUAAAUUUGUUGAUUCUAAAAAAAAAAUUAAAGUCAUGAAACUAAGAUAAAAUUGUUAUUUUUUAAAAAAAAAUUAAAUUUUUAUUUCAAUUUCGAAAUUAAAUCUUUUUUCAAGUUGAAUAUUAAUUUAAUAUCAAAACUUAUUUUUAACGUUACGAGAAUUCUAUAUAAAAUCAAUUAAAAAAAUAUUAAAUUUAAUUUUAAAUCAACUUAAUAUGAAAUAAUUAAAUUAUAAAUAAAAAAAUCAAGCUGAAAAAAAAAAAUUAAAAAAAGUUAAAUUAUAAUUUCGACUCAAUAAAAUUUAUAAUUUUUGUUUAAAAACCAUAGGAAUUAAUUGUAUAAUUAUCUCAAGCCUUUGGAUUCAUUACAGUCCAAAUUGAUUAUAAUCAAAUAUAUAAUAACUCAAACAGAAAUACAAUCCGAAUCUAACUCGAUCCAACAUUUGCAGAUUUACCAAAGAUCUAUGAAUUGAUCCAAGUGAACUGUGGUCAAAUACACAAUGACCCGAACACGAAUACAAAACGGGUCCAACCCAAUCCGUCAACCCGAUUGCCUCGACUCUUACAUUUAUUUUAGGCCUCUGUACCCUCCUGACACAACAUCACACGUGGAUGGCAAUAAGGGACCAAACCUUUCAUCUACUUGACCUACCCCAGAUGCAUAAUUGUCCGAAUUUAUGGCCAAAUAAUCACAUCCAUCCACUUUUUUUCUUUUUUUUUGUGUGUUGUUGUUAUCAAACAUCCAUCGAAUCUAUAUUACCAGAAAAAUCAUAAAUGGCCCAUAAAUGAGUUUUUUUUUUUCAAAUUUAAAGGCACGAGGUUGUUUUUCACCCAUGUUUUGUUAGUGUUUCGAAAGUGAAGAAUAAAAACAAUAAAGAUAAAAACACAUGUUCUUCUAUGUUUUUAUAUUUCAUGUUUUGAAACAAUAAAAUUUAUUAUAAAAUUGUAAUAAAAACAAUUUUAUUUUAUGUUUAUUUUUAAAUUCAAGUAUAUUUCAAUUAUUUUUAUAUUAUUAUAUUAACCAAGCACGAACUUAAAUGAUAACAUCCAAUGCCAUAACUCUAAUUCAACUAGUAGCUUUUCUUGUCUUUUCCAGUCAAAGAUUGACUGCACUAGAUUUUUUUGCCUAUUAAAAUUUAAUUUCAUGCAGGGUAAAUUUAGAUUGGAUUUUCAAGAAAUUUAUUGAAGAUGGUAUUCAUGGAUAUAUUUUAGUUAAAUUUUGAUAUAUAAUUAUAUUCAAUUUAACUUUUAAUAUUUUAUAAAUUUUAAACUCAACAAAUUCAAAUUUUACUGAACUUGAUAUUGUUAAUUUUCACGGAUUAGAUUUAAUUAGAACUAAGAUCUUGGUUUAAUAAUUGAGAAAAAUAAUUUGAGAAAAAUAAUAAAAUUUAUAAUAACAAAUCAAGUUUGUUGCUAUUUGAUAUAUUGAUUGGGUCAGGUUAAUUGAGUUUUAAAAAUUUCAAUAUAUAGUUUGAUUUAAUCUAAUUUAUGAUAAUAAUUUUUUAUUUUUUAAAAAUAUUAUUAUAUAUAUAAUAUUUAUAUUAUUUUAUUUUAAUGGAUCAAAUUAAAUAAUAAAAACAUUAAAGAUUAACCGAUUUUUUUAACACUAGUAAAUUUUACCUCACCCUCUUAAAGCCAAGGUUAAAUUCUCACAAACGAAAGGCUCUAGCUUCUUUUUCAAGCUGUACUACUUAUUACACCACUACCAUUCGCAAAUUGCCACCUCAUCCACUAACCUUAGUGCUCAUCUUCAAGUGACAGGUUUACCCCUGUUGAAUGACCCAAAAGGGUAUAUCAGUCAGACAAAAUUACAUGUAUGGUCGAUUAUAAAAAAAAGAAGAAGAAACAGUAGCAAGUACUGCACAGAGUAUUCAGUGCUUUUUAUUAUUUAUUUUAUUUUCAUUUUUUUAUAAUUUUCACUUUCCUUCUAUUGGAUAGGCGAUUUUAACAAAAAAAUAAAUAAAAAAAAUGGAGUGAAACUUUUUCCUUCUUUAAAUGAUUUUUUAUAUUUUUUCAUGAAAAGAAAGCAAAGAGAAAAACAUAGGAUUUGGAGAAGAAGAAGAAGAUCUUCUCCUUCUCUCACUCAUUCCACGAACUCUCUCCUUCUCUUAACACAAAAAGAGUAGUUGUUUGAAACUUCAUAAGCUUGCCAAGCUUGUUUGUUAAGUCACUAGCUUGUUUUGUCUGGAUCUGUCAAAGAAAAACGGGAACUUCCACUUUCUUAGCUUGGAACUAACGAACUGGUAAGUAACCUUGCUUCCUUCUUGCAACCUUAAGAAAACUUAACUUGGGUUCACUUUGAUCACUUACAUGUUUACUUCUCUAUGUUUCGUCAUCUGGGUUCUCUUGUCUUGUCUGUUUAUUAUGUCUCUGAGUUUGUGUUUUUUUUUGUUCUGCUUUGUUGUUUGGAGAUAAUGAUAGUUUUUGAAUGAACACGUAAAGGAAAGAUCUUUUGUGUUUCUUAGUUUUGUUUCCUUUUUUUGGUUAAAAAUUUAGUGAGAUUUUUGCAUCCAAAUACCAGAUCUUUUACAAGUUCCUGAUCUGGUCAUUUUUUUUACUUUAAAUUCUUUGAUUAAAAAUGGACAUAAUCAGUGCUGGAUUGGGUGUGUACUUUGUUUUCUCUGUGGUUGUUUACUUUUGUGUCUGUAUUGACUGUUCAAUCUGAGUGUUUUGACAUUUUUUUUGUUUUGAUUUUUUUUCCUUUUCUUGUAUGGUAGUUUUUGAUGUUCUUUUGGGAUUGAGAUGUAUUUUGGUUUUUGUUAUGAUUCUAUUUUCCUUAAUUUUUGCUGAGUAAACUCAGGAAGGGUGAAGGUGGAACAUGGAAGUGAAGAUAAAAAAGAAUAUUAAACCGCACAGAUCAUUGUAUGCUCAGUUAGUGAUACAUAUUCUUGUGCAUCAAAUUAUUUGAAAAAAUCGAAAGAAUCCUAUACUGCAGUGUUUCUUUUUCUUUCUCCUGUUUUCCCCUCUGUUCUUAGACCUUCAUUGCAGUUAAGAUGGAACUAUUUCUCAAGACUCUGAUACUUUUGUUUCCAGUUUUUUGAUCCAGUAUGAGAAUAAGUAAGAACUUGCAUAAAAUCUAAGAACAAAAUCCUGUUUCCUAGUUUUUCUCCGUUUGUUGCGCCGGAGUUCGAUUUCGUCAUUGGUUUCAUUUAGAGCUUUUUCAUUUUUCCUGGAUCCUUUGCAACAAAGAAUUUAUAAUUAUCCGGGGUUGGUACUAGUCUAAUGGGUCUGCUUCGUUAGGUCCUCUAUAAAUACUUGUAUAGCAUUUCUUCUUUGUCCAUUCAUUGUAGUUGCUAUGCUCGGUGUUGUGUUCAAUGGAUAGGUGAGAUUGAUGAUAUUGUUUAAUUUGAUUGACUAACUUGUCUUGUACUUCUAUGAAUGACAAUAUUUGUUCUCUUCUUGUUCGAUAUAGUGAUGAUAAGGUAGUUACGGUAUUUAUCUGCAGGUUGAUGCUAAUGAGAUUGUAUUUGAAUUUCAGAUGUACUUUUAGCAAGUGAAAGUAUGUUCUGUGGAUUGGAGCAGUUAAAGCUUGCACUGACUCUGAAAAUACCUCAAUUUCUUUUGACGGAAGCAUACCCACCAACAUGGACAUGAAUCACUUAACUGUUGAAACUGAAGAUACAUUUGCAAGUUUGCUUGAGCUUGCUGCUACCAAUGAUGUUGAGGGCUUUAAGCGAUCUAUUGAGCGCGAUCCUUCUUGUAUUGAUCAGAUUGGACUAUGGUAUGGCCGACAAAAGGGCUCUAAGCAGAUGGCUAAUGAAUACAGGACCCCGUUGAUGGUAGCUGCUACAUAUGGUAGCAUUGGUGUUAUAAAGGUGAUUCUUUCUCUCUCUGAUGCUGAUGUUAAUCGCUCUUGCGGUGCUGACAAGAGCACUGCCCUUCACUGUGCAGCCUCGGGUGGGGCUGUGAAUGCUGUUGAUGUCGUGAAACUGCUUUUAGCAGCAGGUGCUGAUGCUAAUGUGGUAGACGCCAAUGGUCAUCGUCCAAUUGAUGCUAUUGUUGUUCCGCCAAAGUUCCAAGAAGCGAGGUUGACUCUUGAAGAACUCCUUUCUGCUGAAGGUUAUGUUAUUGAGCACAAUCUAAGGGUUUCCAUGUCCAAUGCAAAUUCAAAUUCUCCACCUCUUUCACCUUCUCUGGAAGACAUGUCUCUUCUGUCAGGUUCAGAUUCCCCAAUGAAGUCAAAGCUGAAUGAAGCACCUGUUCACUUUGUAUCAGAGAAGAAAGAAUAUCCUGUUGAUCCAUCUCUCCCCGAUAUCAAGAACAGCAUCUAUUCUACUGAUGAAUUCCGAAUGUAUUCUUUCAAGGUAAGGCCUUGUUCUCGUGCCUAUUCCCAUGAUUGGACUGAGUGCCCAUUUGUUCACCCUGGCGAAAAUGCUCGAAGAAGGGAUCCUAGAAAGUUUCAUUAUAGCUGCGUUCCAUGUCCUGAUUUCCGAAAAGGGGCUUGUAGACGUGGAGAUAUGUGUGAAUAUGCUCAUGGUGUUUUUGAGUGCUGGCUUCACCCUGCUCAAUAUAGAACCCGACUGUGCAAAGACGGUACAAAUUGUGCAAGGAGAGUUUGCUUUUUUGCUCACACCGUUGAGGAACUCCGCCCAUUAUAUGUUUCCACGGGUUCUGCUGUUCCCUCUCCUCGCUCUAGUACAUCAGGUGCUACUGCCAUGGAUUUUGCUGCAGCCAUGAGCCUCUUGCCAGGCUCUCCUUCAGCAUCUGUCAUGUCUCCUCAACCAUUCUCUCCACCCAUGUCUCCAUCUGCCAAUGGCUUGUCCCAUUCUUCCAUGGCUUGGCUCCAACCAAAUGUCCCAGCUUUGCAUCUUCCUGGAAGCAAUCUCCAGUCCAGUCGCUUGAGAUCUUCCCUUAAUGCUAGAGACAUUCAAGCAGACUACAAUUUGCUUCCGGAUUUUGAUGUGCAGCAACAGCAGCUUCUUAGUGAAUUAUCCAGUCUCAGUCAACCAUCUUUGAGCAACAACUCCUUGAAUCGCUCUGGUCGAUUGAAAACCUUAGCCCCUUCAAAUCUUGACGUUCUAUUUUCUGCCGAGAGCUUAUCUCCUCAGUAUGCUGAUCAAGCAUUGGCUUCAGCAGUUUUCUCCCCGUCUCAUAAAUCUGCUGUUCUCAAUCAGUUCCAGCAGCAGCAAAGCAUGUUAUCACCAAUCAACACAAAUUUCUCUCCUAAAAAUGUCGAUCACCCUCUAUUGCAGGCAUCUUUUGCAUCAGGCAGGAUGUCACCCCGAAAUGUGGAACCUAUCUCGCCAAUGAGCUCUCGAGUGUCUAUGUUAGCUCAAAGAGAGAAGCAGCAACAGCAUUUGCAUAGCCUUGGGUCUCAGGAACUAGUCUCCAAUACUGCUGCCAUUGUUGGAUCACCAGUUAACUCUUGGUCGAAAUGGGGUUCC
rnacentral:lncRNA from 1 species